rnacentral:rRNA from 2 species
GCAAGGGCGUAUGGUGGAUGCCUUGGCAGACAGGACCGAUGAAGGACGUUUGAGGCUGCGAUAUGCCUCGGGGAGCCGCCAACAGGGCUUUGAUCCGAGGAUUUCCGAAUGGGGGAACCCACCGGCCGUCAUGGGCCGGUACCGCCGUGUGCGGGGGGUACGCAGGGAAGUGAAACAUCUCAGUACCUGCAGGAAAGGAUAUUCCGUGAGUAGUGGCGAGCGAAAGCGGAUCAGGCCAAACCUUGCGCGUGUGAUACCCGUCGGGGGUUGCGCGCGGGGUGUAGAGGGAUCGCGUUUGCCGGCUCCGACGGGCCGGCCGUCAGUUGCAUAAAACCAUGUGCCAGGGGAACCGGGUUGAAUACCGGGCCGCAGAGGGUGAGGGCCCCGUACCCGAACGCGCAUGGUCUGGCGAUCGCGUCUCCCAAGUAGCACGGGCCCCGUGGAAUCCCGUGCGAAUCUGUCCCGACCGUGGGAUAAGCCUAAAUAUUCCUGUCUGACCGAUAGCGAACGAGUACCGUGAGGGAAAGGUGAAAAGUACCCCGGGAGGGGAGUGAAACAGUCUCUGAAACCAUGCGCCUACGAACCGUCGGGGCCCUCUUGUGGGGUGACGGCGUGCCUAUCGAAAAAUGAGUCUGCGAGUCAGUGGCAUGUGGCGAGCAUAACCCGUGUGGGGUAUGCGUAGCGAAGGCGAGUCUUAAAAGGCGUUUGAGUCGCGUGUCCUGGACCCGAAGCGGGAUGAUCUAGCCCUGAGCAGGUUGAAGCGCGGGUAAGACCGUGUGGAGGACCGAACCCACCUGGGUUGAAAACCGGGGGGAUGACUUGGGGCUAGGGGUGAAAGGCCAAUCAAAUUCCGUGAUAGCUGGUUCUCUCCGAAAUGCAUUUAGGUGCAGCGUCGGAUCGAUUACAUCCGGGGGGUAGAGCGACUGGAUGCUUGCGGGCCCAUAUCGGGUACCAACAGCAACCAAACUCCGAAUACCCGUGAUGCGUAUCCCGGCAGUGAGUCGGCGGGGGAUAAGCUCCGUCGUCGAAAGGGAAACAGCCCAGAUCGUCGUCUAAGGUCCCCAAGCGUGUGCUAAGUGGGAAAGGAUGUGGAGUCGCAUAGACAGCCAGGAGGUUGGCUCAGAAGCAGCCACCCUUGAAAGAGUGCGUAACAGCUCACUGGUCUAGUGGUUCCGCGCCGACAAUGUAGCGGGGCUCAAGCACACCACCGAAGACGCGGCAGUAGCUUUGCUACUGGGUAGGAGAGCGUCCCAUGCGGGGCGAAGCGGCGGCGCAAGCCCGCCGUGGACCGCAUGGGAGUGAGAAUGCAGACAUGAGUAGCGAAAGACGGGUGAAGAUCCCGUCCGCUGGACGACCAAGGGUUCCAGGGCCACGUUCAUCGUCCCUGGGUGAGUCGGGUCCUAAGGCGAGGCCGACAGGCGUAGUCGAAUGGACGAACGGGUCGAUAUUCCCGUACCGGCAUGCAACCGGCAAAACCGAAUCCGCGAGUACUAACUUCCGGGUCCGGGCUCACGUCUCCUUCGGGAGCCGGAUGCCCUGGCCUGUUGGGACCGUAACGGUAGUAGGUCAGCGCGGGAGUGACGCAGAAGGGUAGCCGGCCGCGGAGGUGGUCUUCCGUGGUCAAGCACGCAGCCCGUCCCACAGGCAAAUCCGUGGGGCGCGUGGGCGAGGUGCGAUGAUGGGCGCCGCAGGGCGCGAUAUCCGGUGAUCCCGGCUGCCGAGAAAAGCUUCGGCGUGAGGCGGCAUGCCGCCCGUACCCCAAACCGACACUGGUGGUCAGGUAGAGAAUACCAAAGCGAUCGAGCGAAUCCUGGUCAAGGAACUCGGCAAAUCACUCCCGUUCCUUCGGUUUAAGGGAGACCCCCGAUGGUGAAGCGGCUUGCCCGCGGAGCUUUUGGGGGUGGCACAGACCAGGGGGUAGCGACUGUUUACCAAAAACACAGGAGCGUGCGAAGGCGCAAGCCGCUGUAUACGCUCUGACGCCUGCCCGGUGCCGGAAGGUUAAGAGGAUCCGUCAGGCCUCGGCCGAAGCGGUGAAUUCAAGCCCCGGUAAACGGCGGUGGUAACUAUAACCAUCCUAAGGUAGCGAAAUUCCUUGUCGGGUAAGUUCCGACCUGCACGAAUGGCGUAACGACUUCCCCACUGUCUCGACCAGGAGCUCGGCGAAAUUGCAGUACGAGUAAAGAUGCUCGUUAAGCGCAGAAGGACGAAAAGACCCCGGGACCUUUACUAUACCUUGGUAUUGGCAUUCGGUGUGGAUUGUGUAGCAUAGGCGGAAGGCUUCGAAGCCACGGCGCCAGCCGCGGUGGAGCCGCAAGGUGAAAUACCGCUCUGUUCGCAUUGGAUGUCUAACCUCGACCAGUCAUCCUGGUCAGGGACAGUGCCUGGCGGGUAGUUUAACUGGGGCGGUUGCCUCCCAAAGAGUAACGGAGGCGCUCAAAGGUUCCCUCAGCCCGGUUGGCAAUCGGGUGGCGAGUGUAAGUGCACAAGGGAGCUUGACUGCGAGACUGACGGGUCGAGCAGGGACGAAAGUCGGAACUAGUGAUCCGGUGCCGGUGUACGGACGCGGCAUCGCUCAACGGAUAAAAGGUACCCCGGGGAUAACAGGCUGAUCAUUCCCAAGAGUCCAUAUCGACGGGAUGGUUUGGCACCUCGAUGUCGGCUCGUCGCAUCCUGGGGCUGGAGCAGGUCCCAAGGGUUCGGCUGUUCGCCGAUUAAAGCGGCACGCGAGCUGGGUUCAGAACGUCGUGAGACAGUUUGGUCUCUAUCCUCUGCGCUCGUCGGAAUGUUGAGGAGGCCUGCCCAUAGUACGAGAGGACCUGGGUGGACGAACCUCUGGUAUGCCGGUUGUCACGCCAGUGGCACGGCCGGUUGGCUACGUUCGGAAGGGAUAACCGCUGAAAGCAUCUAAGCGGGAAGCCUGCUCCAAGAUAAGCAUUCCAUAGGACUACGGGUCCUUGAAGUCCCCAUGCAGAACACGUGGUUGAUAGGCCGGACGUGGAAGCCCCGCGAGGGGUGGAGCCGACCGGUACUAACGGAC